rnacentral:sRNA from 1 species
UUUAUUUUGUGAAUUUUUAAUCUAUUACUUAGCGAUCUUUCAGUGUAAUUGGCCUGAAGUGAAAACCACAGCCUCUGAUGGUGAACAGGCCACACGUGAGCCUGUGCUCAAAGCCAUGUUUUUGGCUGACACCCAUUUGCUUGGGGAAGUCCUAGGCCACUGGCUGGACAAAUUAAGAAGGGAAUGGCAGAUGGAGAGAGCCUUCCAGACAGCUCUGUGGUUGCUGCAGCCGGAAGUUGUCUUCAUCCUGGGGGAUAUCUUUGAUGAAGGGAAGUGGAGCACCCCUGAGGCCUGGGUGAAUGAUGUGGAGCGAUUUCAGAAAAUGUUCAGACACCCAAGUCAUGUACAGCUGAAGGUAGUUGCUGGAAACCAUGACAUUGGCUUCCAUUAUGAGAUGAACACAUACAAAGUAGAACGCUUUGAGAAAGUGUUCAGCUCUGAAAGACUGUUUUCUUGGAAAGGCAUUAACUUCGUGAUGGUCAACAGCGUGGCGCUGAACGGGGACGGCUGUGGCAUCUGCUCUGAAACAGAAGCAGAGCUCAUUGAAGUCUCUCACAGACUGAACUGCUCCCGAGAGGCACGUGGCUCCAGCCGGUGUGGACCCGGGCCUCUGCUGCCCAUGUCUGCCCCCGUCCUCCUGCAGGUGAGCUGGGGGAAGAAAGGGCUCAUGGCAGACAGCAGGCAGCCCGUGGUUUCACGAUAGCCGCCUGAACUCCUCUCUCCACCCCGGACAGCAUUAUCCUCUGUAUCGGAGAAGUGAUGCUAACUGUUCUGGGGAAGACGCUGCUCCUCCAGAGGAAAGGGACAUCCCAUUUAAGGAGAACUAUGACGUGCUUUCACGGGAGGCAUCACAAAAGCUGCUGCGGUGGUUCCAGCCGCGCCUGGUUCUCAGUGGCCACACGCACAGCGCCUGCGAGGUGCACCACGGGGGCCGAGUCCCCGAGCUCAGCGUCCCAUCUUUCAGUUGGAGGAACAGAAACAACCCCAGUUUCAUCAUGGGAACAGAUGCUUAGUUGAGCAUCAAGGGGCAGGAAGACACCCUUCCCUCCUUGUUCCUUGCUGACCGAUGACCCUGGAACUCCACGGUGCCUCUCUGAAUCUCUGUUAUGGAUCCCCCACUAUAUUUGAUGGGAACACAGUGGGCCAGGGGCCAGUUUGACAGGU